AUUUUGGACAAUGGGCGAAAGCCUGAUCCAGCAAUGCCGCGUGUGUGAAGAAGGCCUUCGGGUUGUAAAGCACUUUUGUCCGGAAAGAAAUCCUGAGGGCUAAUAUCCUUCGGGGAUGACGGUACCGGAAGAAUAAGCACCGGCUAACUACGUGCCAGCAGCCGCGGUAAUACGUAGGGUGCGAGCGUUAAUCGGAAUUACUGGGCGUAAAGCGUGCGCAGGCGGUUUGUUAAGACCGAUGUGAAAUCCCCGGGCUCAACCUGGGAACUGCAUUGGUGACUGGCAAGCUAGAGUAUGGCAGAGGGGGGUAGAAUUCCACGUGUAGCAGUGAAAUGCGUAGAGAUGUGGAGGAAUACCGAUGGCGAAGGCAGCCCCCUGGGCCAAUACUGACGCUCAUGCACGAAAGCGUGGGGAGCAAACAGGAUUAGAUACCCUGGUAGUCCACGCCCUAAACGAUGUCAACUAGUUGUUGGGGAUUCAUUUCCUUAGUAACGUAGCUAACGCGUGAAGUUGACCGCCUGGGGAGUACGGUCGCAAGAUUAAAACUCAAAGGAAUUGACGGGGACCCGCACAAGCGGUGGAUGAUGUGGAUUAAUUCGAUGCAACGCGAAAAACCUUACCUACCCUUGACAUGGUCGGAAUCCUGGAGAGAUCUGGGAGUGCUCGAAAGAGAACCGAUACACAGGUGCUGCAUGGCUGUCGUC
rnacentral:rRNA from 1 species